rnacentral:rRNA from 1 species
GACGAACGCUGGCGGCGCGCUUAACACAUGCAAGUCGAACGGAAAGGCCUGCUUUCCCUUGUGGAUUGCGGGUACUCGAGUGGCGAACGGGUGAGUAACACGUGAGUGAUCUGCCCCCAACUUGGGUAUAAGCCUGGGAAACUGGGUCUAAUUCCCGAUAGGACUGCAGGGUGGUGCCUGUGGUGGAAAACGAUUUUCUAGUGGUUGGGGAUGAGCUCGCGGCCUAUCAGCUUGUUGGUGGGGUAAUGGCCUACCAAGGCAGCGACGGGUAGCCGGCCUGAGAGGGUGGACGGCCACAUUGGGACUGAGAUACGGCCCAGACUCCUACGGGAGGCAGCAGUGGGGAAUAUUGCACAAUGGGCGGAAGCCUGAUGCAGCGACGCCGCGUGGGGGAUGACGGCCUUCGGGUUGUAAACUCCUUUCGACCGCGAGGAAGCCACCUGGUUGGAAGGGUGGUGACGGUAGCGGUAGAAGAAGCACCGGCUAACUACGUG